CUCCUGUGAAAGCUUUGCCAAACAACCACCCGGGUCAUAAAACUACCCCUGGAAAUGCCCAAAACUCCUGUGAAAGCUUUGCCAAACUACCACCCGGGUCAUAAAACUACCCCUGGAAAUGCCCAAAACUCCUAUGAAAGCUUUGCCAAACUACCACCCGGGUCAUAAAACUACCCCUGGAAAUGCCUAAAACUCCUAUGAAAGCCUUGCUAAACUACCACCAGGGUCAUAAAACUACCCCUGGAAAUGCCCAAAACUCCUAUGAAAGCUUUGCCAAACAACCACCCGGGUCAUAAAACUACCCCUGGAAAUGCCUAAAACUCCUAUGAAAGCCUUGCUAAACUACAAGCACAGUCGAUAGUCAAAUGAAACAGCAAAGACAGUCACAGUCACAAACACAGUCGCCAGUUAUAAUAUCACUGGGGGACUGGAGGGUCAGGUUGUGUGGACUUCACUAUCAAAGGCAUUUAGACCAGCACAAAAACAGUCACACUUUUAUCACAGGGGGACUGGAGGUUAAGAUUGUGUGCACUUCACUAUCAAAGGCAUUUAGACCAGCACAAAAACAGUCACACCUUUAUUACAGGGGGACUGGAGGGUCAGGUUGUGGGCACUUCACUCGGAAAGACAGUUACAUCAUAGGUCAUCAACUUCCGCCACUCACACAUCAACUAUUUCCAAAAGCCAAAAAGGAGAUUAAUUGGGAUCUCAUGAGUGUUUUUUUUAGGUUCAUGGACGAUCAAACUACCACCAGGGUCAUAAAACUACUCCUGGAAAUGCCUAAAACUCCUAUGAAAGCUUUGCUAAACUACCAGGGUCAUAAAACUACCCCUGGAAAUGCCCAAAACUCCUAUGAAAGCCUUGCCAAACCACCAGGGUCAUAAAACUACCCCUGGAAAUGCCCAAAACUCCAAUGAAAGCCUUGCCAAACUACCAGGGUCAUAAAACUACCCCUGGAAAUGCCUAAAACUCCUUGCCAAACCACCAGGGUCAUAAAACUACCCCUGGAAAUGCCCAAAACUCCUAUGAAAGCCUUGCCAAACUACCAGGGUCAUAAAACUACCCCUGGAAAUGCCCAAAACUCCUAUGAAAGCCUUGCAGAACUACCAGGGUCAUAAAACUACCCCUGGAAAUGCCUAAAACUCCUUGCCAAACCACCGGGGUCAUAAAACUACCUCUGGAAAUGCCCAAAACUCCUAUGAAACUACCCCUGGAAAUGCCCAAAACUCCUAUGAAAGCCUUGCCAAACUACCAGGGUCUUAAAGCUACCUCUGGAAAUGCUCAAAACUCCUAUGAAAGCCUUGCCAAAUAUGUGUGCAUGGGGGCUGAAAUGUAUAGAAUAUGCCCAUAGAGUUACCACAGGGGGACUGGAGGCUUAGGCUGCAUGUAUACCUCACCAGCAAAGACAAUCAACAGUCACUCAGUCAUGCACAGUCAGAGCCAAACCACACAGUCUUUUCAUCCCUCAGUCACUGCAUUAAGGAAGUGGUUAGUGUUGACCAGUGUUGAGAUUAUUAAUUUUAUUUUAUUUUAUUUAUUUUUUUAUAUCCUUGCCUAUAGUACCGGUAGGUUUUCUUCAGGGGCCAGAUGGUCGGCCCAAGCACGUCAUGACGCAGGUAAUUUUUUUAUAGUGCCGCCAUUUAUGCCUGUCAGUUUUAUAUCACAGGUUUUGUUGCUCUCUGAUAUUUCUAUACUAUUGUGUGUGUCUAUAACUCAUGUGCAUAUUCUACGUAAAAUAAGACACCAACAUCUAAAUCCAUAUUAUUAAAUGUAUCAGUCUCCUAUUAUGAUCAGAGAAGAUUAACUGGGUUUUUAUGGGUGAAUAUAUUGAGUCUAUAUUGUGUGUUUCUAUAACUCAUGUGCAUAUUCUACGUAAAAUAAGACACCAACAUCUAAAUCCAUAUUAUUAAACGUAUCGGUCUCCUAUUAUGAUCAGAGAAGAUUAACUGGGUUUUUAUGGGUGAAUAUAUUGAGUCUAUAUUGUGUGUGUCUUUAACUCAUGUGCAUAUUCUAGGUAAAAUAAGACACCAACAUCUAAAUUCAUAUUAUUAAAUGUAUCAGUCUCCUAUUAUGAUCAGAGAAGAUUAACUGGGUUUUUAUGGGUGAAUAUAUUGAGUCUAUAUUGAGUGUUUCUAUAAGUCAUAUGCAUAUUCUACGUAAAAUAAGACACCAACAUCUAAGCCCAUAUUAUUAAAUGUAUUGGUCUCACAUUAUACCUAUUUCCCAAGGCUACAGAAAAGAUUAACUGGGUUUUUAUGAGUGAAUCUAUAUUGAGUGUAUAUUGUUUGUCUUUAAAUCAUGUGCAUAUUCUUCGUAAAAUAAGACACCCAACAACUAACCCCAUAUUAUAUUAUAUUAUAUUGUUUCUUCCUUUUCAUCUCUCCUCCUCUUUCUCUUCCUUUCCCUCUUUCUCCUCCUUCUCCUCCUCUCCCUCUUCCCUCCCUCCUUCCUCUUUCACAUCUAUUCCCUCUUCCACUCCGACGCAGCCUCCACUCUCUUCCUGUUCUUUCUCCUCCUCCUCCUCCUCCCUCUCCUUCACCUUCUUUUCCUCUCCCUGUUAUUUCUCCUUCCUCUCUUCCUCCACCUUCCCUUCCUCCCCCUGUUCCUUCUCCUCCCUCUCUUCCUCCACGGUCCCGUAAUUCCUCUUCCUCUGUCUUCCUUUCCUCUUUUUGCAGUUUUUUGUUCGUUUUAAUUUUUUUUUUUCUAUUUUUUUAGUUUUUUUAGUUUAAUGUUUUAGAAUUUAGACCCCAGAGAGGAUUAACUGUGUUUUUAUGAUUAAUUUCCCCGUUCAAGAUGUAUAAGCCGUGUAAAACUAUCAUAUUGGGAGCACAAAACAGCCCAUGAAAAGCCCAGUAUAACUUCUACAAGAGGCCUUCCAAACAGGCAGACAGAGGUACCGACAUGUUUAACCCGGUAACAGCAACGGGCCAAAUUUGUGACUUUACCGUGUAGCAGUGACGGGCCAAAUUUGUGCCAUGAUAUAAACCCCCAAAAAUAGAUGAUGCAUAAACUGAUCAUAAAUACUUUGAUAUAUAUUAUGAAAUGGUUUGUGUGAGUGAUGAUUUUUUUCUCAUUUUUCUCGCUUAGAGGGACCAUUAAAAAACAUGAUCCCUGCUGUUACCGGGUUAUUACAGAAAAAUCAUGGCAUUAUAUAAUUAGAAGGAAGAGUGAGGCGAUUAUUUUUAGUUUUAUUAAUCUUAAACCUGAGAAACUGUGACCCGAUUAUACUGGUAGUGUAUGUAUGUGUGUGUGUGUGUUUUCUAAUUCUUAAAUCCAGCAUAGUGAUAUUCUGUGAUUAGAAGAAAGGGAUUUACGACACAUUUAAAAAUACACUCUCUAGUCCUAAGUGAUUCAGGUAAGCAAUAAAGUGUUCUGACAGGGUGUUUUAAUCCACUGUACACUUUCUAUUAAAUUUCUCAGAGGUCUUGAAUUCUCUUAUAAU